rnacentral:misc_RNA from 1 species
UCUCCGUUGGUGAACCAGAGGAGGGACCAUUACUGAGUUAUUCUACUCCCAAACCCCUGUGAACUUAUACCUUUGCGGUUGCUUCGGAGGGUUAACGCCCCGGAAGGCCCGCGAGGGCAGGCGGAACCAGGCGCCCGCCGGGGGACCCAAACUCUUGUAUCUUUUUUAUAGCAUGUCUGAGUGGAAUCAUAAACAAGUGAAUCAAAACUUUCAACAACGGAUUUCUUGGUUCUG